rnacentral:rRNA from 1 species
UGCCAUAUCCAUGUCACUGUGCAGCUCGAGACUAACUGAUGCUAAGCAGGGCUGAGCCUGGUCGGUACCUGAAUGGGAGACCACAUUGGAAAACUAGGUUGCUGUUGGAA